CUGCAGUGUUAGAAGUGAAAUCUGGUCAUGAAUGCUGGUGAACCAGGUUUAGGGUGGCCAUGUUUAAAUGUUGAGGACUAAAGAACUUUAAGGCAUACUUGAGCUUCAGGGCAUGAACAGAUGGUCGGACAUCCUCCUUCAGGAUCUUCAGGUAGAGAACAGAAUUCAUGGUUCCAUCAGUUACGGCAAAUUGUCCAAGUCCUGAAGCAGCAAAGCGGUCCCAGCCCAUCACAUCAUCACCACCAUGUUCAACUGCUGGGUAACAGGAAGUGGAGCGCAGGGGUGAUGGAACCUCCAAGGGGAGACAGCCACCGAUGUACACACUCUGAACCCAACCACGACCUGGGUCAAGGCCAUGAAAUUUACAAAUGGGGCCCAUAGGACACAGAGGAGGACAAUAACCCCAGAGGUAACUAGAAGUCAUUCCCUGCCCCUCUCUUUCAGUCCCUCUGCUGGUAUCUAGUUCUUUGUCACCCUCCCUGUUCCCUUCCAUCCCCGCUGUUUACUGAACUAUAGUACACUCUGCAUUUGAAAAGGUUAUCCUUAUUUCCCGC
ensembl:lncRNA